GGCGUUAAGUUGCAGGGUAUAGACCCGAAACCCGGUGAUCUAGCCAUGGGCAGGUUGAAGGUUGGGUAACACUAACUGGAGGACCGAACCGACUAAUGUUGAAAAAUUAGCGGAUGACCUGUGGCUGGGGGUGAAAGGCCAAUCAAACCGGGAGAUAGCUGGUUCUCCCCGAAAGCUAUUUAGGUAGCGCCUCGUGAAUUCAUCUCCGGGGGUAGAGCACUGUUUCGGCUAGGGGGCCAUCCCGGCUUACCAACCCGAUGCAAACUGCGAAUACCGGAGAAUGUUAUCACGGGAGACACACGGCGGGUGCUAACGUCCGUCGUGAAGAGGGAAACAACCCAGACCGCCAGCUAAGGUCCCAAAGUCAUGGUUAAGUGGGAAACGAUGUGGGAAGGCCCAGACAGCCAGGAUGUUGGCUUAGAAGCAGCCAUCAUUUAAAGAAAGCGUAAUAGCUCACUGGUCGAGUCGGCCUGCGCGGAAGAUGUAACGGGGCUAAACCAUGCACCGAAGCUGCGGCAGCGACGCUGAUGCGUUGUUGGGUAGGGGAGCGUUCUGUAAGCCUGCGAAGGUGGCCUGUGAGGGUUGCUGGAGGUAUCAGAAGUGCGAAUGCUGACAUAAGUAACGAUAAAGCGGGUGAAAAGCCCGCUCGCCGGAAGACCAAGGGUUCCUGUCCAACGUUAAUCGGGGCAGGGUGAGUCGACCCCUAAGGCGAGGCCGAAAGGCGUAGUCGAUGGGAAACGGGUUAAUAUUCCCGUACUUGGUGUUACUGCGAAGGGGGGACGGAGAAGGCUAUGUUGGCCGGGCGACGGUUGUCCCGGUUUAAGCGUGUAGGUGUGUGUUCCAGGUAAAUCCGGUUCACUUUAACACUGAGGCGUGAUGACGAGGCACUACGGUGCUGAAGCAACAAAUGCCCUGCUUCCAGGAAAAGCCUCUAAGCAUCAGGUAACAUCAAAUCGUACCCCAAACCGACACAGGUGGUCAGGUAGAGAAUACCAAGGCGCUUGAGAGAACUCGGGUGAAGGAACUAGGCAAAAUGGUGCCGUAACUUCGGGAGAAGGCACGCUGACACGUAGGUGAAGUGAUUUACUCAUGGAGCUGAAGUCAGUCGAAGAUACCAGCUGGCUGCAACUGUUUAUUAAAAACACAGCACUGUGCAAACACGAAAGUGGACGUAUACGGUGUGACGCCUGCCCGGUGCCGGAAGGUUAAUUGAUGGGGUCAGCGCAAGCGAAGCUCCUGAUCGAAGCCCCGGUAAACGGCGGCCGUAACUAUAACGGUCCUAAGGUAGCGAAAUUCCUUGUCGGGUAAGUUCCGACCUGCACGAAUGGCGUAAUGAUGGCCAGGCUGUCUCCACCCGAGACUCAGUGAAAUUGAACUCGCUGUGAAGAUGCAGUGUACCCGCGGCAAGACGGAAAGACCCCGUGAACCUUUACUAUAGCUUGACACUGAACAUUGAGCCUUGAUGUGUAGGAUAGGUGGGAGGCUUUGAAGUGUGGACGCCAGUCUGCAUGGAGCCGACCUUGAAAUACCACCCUUUAAUGUUUGAUGUUCUAACGUGGACCCGUGAUCCGGGUUGCGGACAGUGUCUGGUGGGUAGUUUGACUGGGGCGGUCUCCUCCUAAAGAGUAACGGAGGAGCACGAAGGUUGGCUAAUCCUGGUCGGACAUCAGGAGGUUAGUGCAAUGGCAUAAGCCAGCUUGACUGCGAGCGUGACGGCGCGAGCAGGUGCGAAAGCAGGUCAUAGUGAUCCGGUGGUUCUGAAUGGAAGGGCCAUCGCUCAACGGAUAAAAGGUACUCCGGGGAUAACAGGCUGAUACCGCCCAAGAGUUCAUAUCGACGGCGGUGUUUGGCACCUCGAUGUCGGCUCAUCACAUCCUGGGGCUGAAGUAGGUCCCAAGGGUAUGGCUGUUCGCCAUUUAAAGUGGUACGCGAGCUGGGUUUAGAACGUCGUGAGACAGUUCGGUCCCUAUCUGCCGUGGGCGCUGGAGAACUGAGGGGGGCUGCUCCUAGUACGAGAGGACCGGAGUGGACGCAUCACUGGUGUUCGGGUUGUCAUGCCAAUGGCACUGCCCGGUAGCUAAAUGCGGAAGAGAUAAGUGCUGAAAGCAUCUAAGCACGAAACUUGCCCCGA
rnacentral:rRNA from 1 species